AGGCCUAGGAGAAACUCGAAUCCAAAUUUGCAAUUUGGCAAUGGCUAGGCC
rnacentral:tRNA from 1 species